rnacentral:rRNA from 1 species
GAUGAACGCUAGCGGCAGGCUUAAUACAUGCAAGUCGAGGGGCAGCAGGGGUAGCAAUACUCGCUGGCGACCGGCAAACGGGUGCGGAACACGUACGCAACCUUCCCAUAACUGGUGAAUAGCCUUCCGAAAGGGAGAUUAAUACACCGUAACAUAAUGAAGUGGCAUCACUUUAUUAUUAUAGCUCCGGCGGUUAUGGAUGGGCGUGCGCCUGAUUAGGUAGUUGGUAGGGUAACGGCCUACCAAGCCUUCGAUCAGUAACUGGUGUGAGAGCACGACCAGUCACACGGGCACUGAGACACGGGCCCGACUCCUACGGGAGGCAGCAGUAAGGAAUAUUGGUCAAUGGACGCAAGUCUGAACCAGCCAUGCCGCGUGAAGGAUGAAGGCCCUCUGGAUUGUAAACUUCUUUUAUAGAAGAAGAAACCCCAUUAUUCUUAAUGGGUUGACGGUACUCUAUGAAUAAGCACCGGCUAACUCCGUGCCAGCAGCCGCGGUAAU